CAAUAGCGUAUAUUAAAGUUGUUGCAGUUAAAAAGCCCGUAGUUGGAUUUGUGGUUCGUCCCGCCGGCUGGGUCAUUGACCUUUGCUGUGCUGGUCGUCCAUCCUUGGGUGGAAUCUGUGUGGCAUUAGGUUGUCGCGCAGGGGAUGCCCAUCGUUUACUGUGAAAAAAUUAGAGUGUUCAAAGCAGGCUUAUGCCGUUGAAUAUAUUAGCAUGGAAUAAUGAUAUAGGACCUUGGUACUAUUUUGUUGGUUUGCGCACUGAGGUAAUGAUUAAUAGGGACAGUUGGGGGUAUUCGUAUUCCAUUGUAAGAGGUGAAAUUCUUGGAUUUUUGGAAGACGAACUACUGCGAAAGCAUUUACCAAGGAUGUUUUCAUUAA
rnacentral:rRNA from 1 species